rnacentral:rRNA from 1 species
UACGGGGGGGGGCAAGCGUUGUUCGGAAUUACUGGGCGUAAAGGGCUCGUAGGCGGCCAACUAAGUCGGACGUGAAAUCCCUCGGCUUAACCGGGGAACUGCGUCCGAUACUGGAUGGCUUGAGUUCGGGAGAGGGAUGCGGAAUUCCAGGUGUAGCGGUGAAAUUCGUAGAUAUCGGGAGGAACACCGGUGGCGAAGGCGGCGACCUGGGUAGAUACUGACGCUGAGGUGCGAAAGCGUGGGGAGCAAACAGG